rnacentral:rRNA from 1 species
CCUACGGGAGGCAGCAGUAGGGAAUAUUGCUCAAUGGGGGAAACCCUGAAGCAGCAACGCCGCGUGGGGGAUGAAGGUUUUCGGAUUGUAAACUCCUUUUGUUAGAGAAGAUAAUGACGGUAUCUAACGAAUAAGCACCGGCUAACUCCGUGCCAGCAGCCGCGGUAAUACGGAGGGUGCAAGCGUUACUCGGAAUCACUGGGCGUAAAGAGGGCGUAGGCGGGUUAGCAAGUCAGAUGUGAAAUCCUAUGGCUUAACCAUAGAACUGCAUUUGAAACUGUUAUUCUAGAGUAGGGGAGAGGUAGGUGGAAUUCUUGGUGUAGGGGUAAAAUGCGUAGAGAUCAAGAGGAAUACUGAUUGCGAAGGCGACCUGCUAGAACAUAACUGACGCUGAUGCGCGAAAGCGUGGGGAGCAAACAGGAUUAGAUACCCCAGUAGUC